rnacentral:lncRNA from 1 species
CAAGAUGACCAGAACUCAGAUGACAAAACAUUUUGGUCAGCAAGCUGUGCCACAAUUCUUGCUUUUCACAAGUGGUUCAAUAACUUUGACAGGAACCUCAAUCAAGAAGAUGUCAUUUUGAAGUUUGAUAGGACCAGAAAUGCUGUUAUCUCAAACCAAGGCAUUAAAGUAAUUGAGCUGCGGAAAGAAAACGGAGAUGUACUGCAUUCAUGGCAGUUUCCAGAGAAUCUUGCAAAAAAAAAAUUGUUUUUGGUGCCUGUACAGCAUCUAAAUGUUGCAGAAACAAUUGUAGUUGAAGACGCUUUUGGUAAUCUGUUAAAGCAAAGGCUUAGUAGUCUGGUUUGAACUUCCCUCAUUAUCUCUUGCAUUAUUUAGUAUGUAUUCAAGCUCUAUUUGCUUUUUGGUACAUGGUUUGUGCAGCUUUGAAAAGUGCUUAAAAAAUGCUCUGUUUUGACAUUGUUUUUCAAGGGCUAUAAAGAGCUUGAAUUUUUAUCUUUACUAAUUGUCAGUAUUAAAUGUACAGUUUUAAUAACUGACAAUGCAUUUUGACGCCAACUAGACCAUUUAAAAGUGCAUCCUCCUGUAAAAGAAAGCAUUAUCUACCUCUAAAGUGAACUUAAAUUUUAUGACUUGGACUUAUGAUACAGGAAGAAAACUGAGCAUUGAGGAAAAAAUAACGAUGAAGGUGAUAAAAUGUGCUGGAAUAUUCCAGAGGCUUAAAAUCUUCCAAGUUUCCACAUUUUCAUGUGCCCGCCUACUGACUUUUUAAAGAGUGUCUCACCAAUAUAAAAAGGAUGACUUUCUUCUUUUCCCUUUGAUUUUUGCCCCUUAAAAAUUUGUCUACCUUCCAAAGUUUGGGGCCUUUCCCAACUUUCACAUGCUUGCUGACGAAUGUGAUCAAGUAUUUUCUGCAACUCUAGAAAAUUGCAAAAAGUGCUUGACUGAAUAGUCUUAAAGUUGCACUAACUAUGGAUCAAAAUGGUCACUCUCGUUUGCCUUAAAACUUAUCUUUUGAUUCCUAGAUCAUUCCAAAUAGGAUUAUAUGCAAACCUCUGUCUGCUGUUAGUUCCAAAUCGAAAGAAAAGCUCAUAGGAUAUUGAUACAAGUUGAGGACUAGUUCUUUAUGUGCCUUGUUGAAAGGUCAAAUAGGAAAUUCCUUUGAAAAUUAUGGAACUUUGGUUCUCCCAAGAUGCAGUUGUCUGAAAGAAACGAUAAAUUGUGGUAGAUAUGUGCAAGGAACAGGUUUUCCAAAAUUUAUCUCAAUGAUAGAAAUAAUUGUGAUUAGAGUGUUAUUUCCUCACUGCUGAUCAUGAUUUAUUCACUGUCAGAUCUCAUAAAACAGUAUUUUAAUUUUAUUCCUUUCUUUAUAUCUAUUUUGUUUCUCAUUAAAUUUUUCUCUCUCUAUUUUAAGCUAGCCAGGAAGAAAUAAGCGGAAUGUUGUUGUAGGUUGAUUGGCCUAAUUCCGCUUUGCAGAUAAAUGGCCACUUACAAAAGUUUGGGAUCACACACUAAAUGAUCAUUUCCCUUGAGAAUAAACAAAGUUUAAUGUCUCGGUCAAUGGUUGGUUCGAUUAUAAUCUACUAAAAUUUUGUUCUGGGGUGGAUUAUCUUUGAAAAAUAAUUGAUCACGUCCCUUUGAGCAUUGCCACUCUUAAAUAAAGUAAACAGAAUAGAAGGGGGAAAAAUCCUGUAUUAGUUUAAUUGUUUGCAUCGCAAAAAUUGUUGCCAGAAAAAGAGAAUUUAAUUGAGUAAUCGCAGUGGCCAGAUUUAUUUAUAUAUAUUCUUAAUCUGAAUGCAUUUUGCUUUUGAAAUUCCAUCUUCAGUAGGUACUUAAAUGAUUAGAUGUUUCCUGUUAAAAAUCUCUAACUCAUUUAUUACUUUCAUUACACUUAAUGAGCGGAUAUCUAUCUGACUUGAUUUGCACUGCUAGGUAGGUAAUCAGUUCACUUCCAGUGAGUGCUAAAAUUUUAAUGUUGCUUAAAAAAAAUCACAAACGGUUACUGAGUCAUGUGCUAAUGUCAUUCUAAUACCUCUUCUGAGAAAUUCAAAAAUUCAACCAUGUACCUUCUUCAAAACUCACAUGCCCAGGGCUUAAUCGGUUUGAUUUAUGAUUACUUAGUUUGGUUUUUGAAAUUAAAAUUAAUUUAUAUUUUUAAAUUUGAAUUUAGUCUCCUCCCCCCUCUGAAAAAACUGCAAGCUUAUUCUGUCUAAAAUAGUAUUUUCGAGCAGUAAAAUAUUAAGAAUCAAUGAAAGUAGGAUCCAUAACAAGUAAACUCGCUAUAAAUGAAGGAAAUCACUUUUAAUCCUCAGUGUUAGGCUUUCUAAUUUUACUUCAUGAUUCCCAUUACGCCUAAGGUGCAGACUUCUCCUGCAGAAAUCCUAUGAGUUCAAACAACUUUGUAUCAUUAGAGAUUCCUCUUCUCAGUCUUUAAUUAGAGAUGGUUAGCUAUUGAUUUAACUGUAACUUCCAUUUUAGAGUUGAUCAAAUCGUAGAUUAUGAGGCAACAAGCAGGAUCCUGUCCAUCAGGAUUUACUGUUGCUUGAUACAUAGUUGUUCUAUUACCAAAACAUUCCCUCUAGCCACAUGGCCUUAAAAUACUUGAAUUAUAGUGAAUCAAAUAUUUUUUCAUUUUGUUGGUAUUGCUUCCUUUUGAAAAUUUUACGUGUUUAGAUUUGUAAAGUAGCUAAUGAGGAUAGAUUUUUUAUCCACUCACAUUGAAGUAUUGCUUUGAUCUUUAAAGUACUGAUUGAAUGUCAAUGAAUGUGGCAAAAUUUAAAUGCAAUCUCUGUUGUGGUUAUAAAGAAGAUCCAGGUAUGAAUUACAGUGAUUUCACCCCUCUCUCUAUAAAAUUCGUUUUUAUAACCAAGUGUGUGCAUUUUUUGUAGCUGUUUGUUGGAUAUUUUACCACUCGCUCAAGGAAAUCUACCUAUCCUCAAAUUGCUCAUGAUAUGAAUCAAAUUUUUUCCUUAUAAAGGGCACAUGCAUGAGAAUCAAUCAAAACACUGUAAUUCAUGUAGCAUGCUUUGAAGUUCAUAAGUGAAAAAUACAAAUCUGAUCAAUAACUCUCAGGCUCAACAUCUCAUUAAGAAUGUAAAGAUGUUUUACUAAGCCAAAACUUUAAACUCGUCAUUGCAUUGAAUUUGAAAUUUUUCUCAAUGAUAAUCUUAAUUGUCAGCCUCAGUUUGUCAGCUUGGUUUUGCUUUGAAGUUAAUGUAAACAGCUCUGUGUUCUAAGUCAAUUUUCUUUUCUCUUCUAAUUGAGUCUCAAAAAUUAUGGAUGAAAAAAGGGAAAAGAAAAUACAUUAAAAACCUCCCAUCAAGAUAAAACCGUCUUAUGGAAUAAUAGAUCCAAAGCAAAGGAAAGUGAUGCAUCAGGUACAUAAUUUUAGCUGAAGUUCUAUUGUCAUAUAAUCUAUGUAGAUUUAUUAAUCUUAAGUAAUCGUUACCACUUCAAACUGUAAAAUAAUUUUCGUAGGGUAGAACAAAAUUUUGAGCAAAAAAGAAGAGGUUAGUUUGCUUCAGUAAUCCAAUUCCUAUUGUAAAUUGAAUUUGGAUUUUUGAAAUUUUGCCAUUGAUUUGUUUUGAAAACUAUAGAAUAGAACUCGAGUCUGUCCAAAAGUUGCCAGCCAGAAUUUGCGUUAGGCGUUUCAUUGACGCCUCCAAAAUUUACCUUGUCUUUUAAGUCUCUCAAGAAUACUGCAAUAUAUGUUAAAUAUUAUUUUUAAGGAUGGCUUUUUCAAAUAUUAUUCUUGAAGUUUGGAAGGAAGAUUUUCUUCUCUGAGAAAGGAACUUUAAGUUUAGGUCGUCUCAGUUUUAUGUUUGUAGUGCAGAAAAAAAUCAAACCUAGAGGAAUGGAAAUAGAGAGUCAGAAUGACAUGCUCUGCAUUUUAAUGUAAUCAGUAUCAAGGUCAGAGAUGGCCAUUCAAUUCCUUAACAGCUGUAAAUAAAAUAAUAUUACACUGAUCACUGGAAGCAAUCUUUCAUCGCUGUUUUUAUUCUAAAUUAGAUGUUCAAACCUCACCAGGACUUAGAUUUUACAUCAACUCAAUUGAUUUAUCUUCACUUAAACCUUCAAAAAAAAGUGAAUAGUUUGAUUGUGGUGCCUUGUUUUUAGAAUAUCACCAAUUUUUCUGAGGUAUACUGGGAGACAUUUUUUCUCCAUGUGUUGCAAUUCAAGUCCUUGUACUCGUAAUUUUCUCAUGAAGUGAAGCUGUCUUAUACAAAUACAUAGUAUGAUCUGUAUUUUUGCUAUGCUGCACUUCAUUCAUUCAUAGUGCUAUUUUUAAACAAAUUCACCUUGUUACUUUGUAAAAUUGUUGUAACCAACAAUAAGGAGGAAGUGUCAAAAGAAAUCACUCAGUCAAUGCUGUCUCAAAAUAUCUUCUAAGUCUCAUCAUAGUUCCUCAUUAUCAAUCAGUAAGUAGCACAGAGGUAAAACUUUGAAAUUGACUCAAGGGAGAAGAAAAUUGAAAAAAAACAAUAAACUUACUUGAAAUAUCUAUACAACUCU